rnacentral:piRNA from 1 species
UGAGAACAAAUAUUGCUGAAAUAGUUCC